GUUUGUUUCAGGGAUUCAUAAAUUAAUCCCAGGAAUAACUUACCUGGGAAUAAAGUAGUGGGAAGUUUAUUCCUGGGUAUUUUAAAAAAAAGUGUUUGGUUAGUAUUUUAAUUUUUCAGGAAUAUUUUCAAAAAAUGUUCCCAUAAAUAGCUAAUUGUUGUUUAGUUUAGAAUAUAUAUUCCUAGAAAAAACAUGAUACAGUUACAAAAAUACCUCUACCUUGUUUCUAAAUCAAUUUGAAUUUAUUUUACUACAUUUUAUUUUCAUUAUAACUUGAAGCAUUUGAAAAUACACCAUGAAAUAAAAUUAUGUUUUCAUAUAGUUGAUUGAUAAAAUAUAGUUGAUUGAUAUAAUAGAACAAUAUUGUUGAAAACUUUAAUAGACACAUAAAUAUUUUUUUGCACAAACCAAAAAGAACAUAAAGAAAUAAUAGAUGAAUUACAUAUAAUAACAUACAUUAUAACAAUGUCUUGAUGUAGAGCAUGUAAAAGAAAAAAAUAGAAAUUAAUUGGCAGUUGAAAAAACAUGGUGGUAGUGGGGUUUUCAUGUAGCAAGGCAAAUGUCAUUCCUAGGAAUAAAACAUUCCAACUCCUUUUUCAUGGGAAUAAAAAUAGGGAGAUCAUGGGUUAAAAAUUUUCCUGGGUAUAAUUUGUUCCCAGGUAUAUUUUUCUUUUACCUUCUACCAAACAUGGGAAAGUGCAUUCCCAUCCUCAUAUUCC
rnacentral:lncRNA from 1 species